UAAACACAAUUUGACUGUGCUUCAAAGCAAUAAGGGUGAGACCUCAUUGUUGCUGCUAGAUGAUGCUGGUUAGUCCUGAGUCUACUUAGGAUAAGUUUCAUUUUGAGAAGAUAUGACAGCAAAAGAGAUCUGUGAUUAUUUUGUCUACUGGCCUCGCUACUUCUUGUUCUGUGUCUGGGUCAUCGACAUCGCCAUGAUAUUUUUGGUUUUUCACUUGAAAACAUGUUUGGAAGAAAUAAAAGAGAAAUUCAGAAUGGACGAACCUCAAGAAGAGGACUAUGCCAGCUACAGGACGAGUGGAUUUAUGUGCGAGCAAGCCAGCUGAAGCAAUAAUUGAACAAAUAAUGUAAAAUUACUUGCAUACAAAUAUGACAGUACAAAGAAAGAACUGAAUUCUUGUAAUGGAGCGUCUUAAUAUAGACCUAUUUCAUUCAAAUGCAUACUUUUUGAGGUAAUUUCAAAUAAGUACAGCUUGAUGUGUUGCAGCUUUUCUGAUAAAAAUACUUUGCUUAGUUAUACUGAAAAGAUAAUACGCUUGUAUAAUAUCUAACAUUUUUUAACUUACACAUAAAAAAGUCUGAUAAGGAGAUUCAGGGGGUCUGGAUAUUAUCCCUAAAUAACCCCAUUAAAGGAACUGUUUACUCAAAAUGUGAGAAGACUCAAUAUGUUAUAUUUUUGUGUAAAAAAAAAAAAAUAAUAAAAGUCUCUAAACUUCUUUUGUUGACACCUGUGAAGGAAUUCUUUACUUUAUCAUUACACUUCUUUUUCUUACAGUCUUAACAUUUGUAUGCUUUUGAGUACUAAAUGUCCCCAACACUUGGAAUUUCAUCAAUGUGUUGCAAUAAAAGAUGCAUUUUGA